AAAGAGUUCAGCAUAAAAAUCUCAGAGAGGGAUUUGCUACCCUCUCGGGCAUAGAUGCAUGCCAUAUAAUGUACUUGAACUGAUAUAAUUAAUGUUGUGAAUGUCACAAGUAGAUAUCAGUUGUAUCUAGGCUGUGAGUGCUGGAUUGCUGUGAAAAUAUCCUUAAGCUCUUAAGAAGGACUGAGGACAUAUUUUUAAUUUGGAGAAGGAUCAAAGCUAGGAGUAGGAGGAUGCACCAAUUCAGAUUUUAUGUAUGAUAUUGAUGGUAGAAUGCCUACAUCAUGAGAUGUGUUUCUAUGUCGAUAUCUUGGAAGAGUUUCAAAUAAUUGAUCGAUGAAAGCUGAGUACACUGUAGACGUAUAGGAUACAUUCUGGUUUUAAUGAUUAGUUGCAGAAUUGAUUGUCAUACCAUCAGAUGCUGUGACACUAUACUGCAAAGACAAUGGCACCAUAGCCCUUGCUAAGGAGCCUAGAUCUCACUAGAUAUCCAAGUACAUAGUGUUGGAUUCCGAUGAUGUAGUGAAAUAUGAAUUUCAAAAUUUUUAACAUGCAUUCAAUAAUUGAAAAUAUAAUUUAACAAUUAAAUAAGAAAAUCGAAAAUACAAAAACUCUAGUAACCCCUUGAUGAUUACAAUCAAAUAUCAAAGUCAUACAUAUCAGGAG
rnacentral:lncRNA from 1 species